rnacentral:rRNA from 1 species
AUGGGGUGCAGCAGGCGCGAAAACUUUACAAUGCGGGAAACCGCGAUAAGGGGACACUGAGUGCCAGCAUAUUAUGUUGGCUGUCCACAUGUAUAAAAACCAUGUGUUAGCAAGGGCCGGGCAAGACCGGUGCCAGCCGCCGCGGUAACACCGGCGGCCCGAGUGGUGAUCACUUUUAUUGGGUCUAAAGGGUCCGUAGCCGGUUUGAUCAGUCUUCUGGGAAAUCUGACAGCUCAACUGUUAGGCUUCCAGGGGAUACUGUCAAACUUGGGACCGGGAGAGGUAAGAGGUACUACAGGGGUAGGAGUGAAAUCUUGUAAUCCCUGUGGGACCACCAGUGGCGAAGGCGUCUUACCAGAACGGGUCCGACGGUGAGGGACGAAAGCUGGGGGCACGAACCGGAUUACAUACCCGGGUAGUCCCAGCCGUAAACGAUGCUCGCUAGGUGUCAGGGACGGUGCGACCGUUUCUGGUGCCGCAGGGAAGCCGUGAAGCGAGCCACCUGGGAAGUACGGCCGCAAGGCUGAAACUUAAAGGAAUUGGCGGGGGAGCACUACAACGGGUGGAGCCUGCGGUUUAAUUGGACUCAACGCCGGAAAACUCACCGGGGGCGACAGCAAUAUGUAGGUCAGGCUAAAGACCUUACCCGAAUCGCUGAGAGGAGGUGCAUGGCC